GAAAUGCGAUAAGUAGUGUGAAUUGCAGAAUUCAGUGAAUCAUCGAAUCUUUGAACGCACAUUGCGCUCCUUGGUAUUCCAUGGGGCAUGCCUGUUCGAGCGUCAUUUGUACCCUCAAGCUCUGCUUGGUGUUGGGUGUUUGUCCCCGUCUCCGCGCGUGGACUCGCCCCAAAGUGAUUGGCAGCCGGCGUACUGGUCCCGGAUCGCAGCACAUGUCGCGCAAACGAGUGCCUUGGUACGGCGGCGUCCAUAAGCCCCUCUCUCACGCUCUUGACCUCGGAUCAGGUAGGGAUACCCGCUGAACUUAAGC
rnacentral:misc_RNA from 1 species